AUGGCGGACCGGACCGGCCCACAUUGGGUCAACGGCCCACCGGGACGAUGCCCGGUAUGCCAGAUGGCCAGUCCACCCCUGUCAACAGCUGAAGUGUCCCGCAAGAAAUGGAAGUACUUGCGGGAUAAAUAUUUGAGGGAGAGGAAGGCAGAGAGGGACAGGAAGAAAAGUGGGGCCGGUGCCACCUCUUUCAAGAGGUGGAAGUAUAUGGCGAUCAUGGGCUUCCUGCAGCGCCAUGUGAAGGAGAGGGUAUCGUCUAGUAAUAUGGAGCAGGGAGAUUAUAGCCGGCAGGAAAUAGCACCGGAGAUCUUGGCCCUGCUAGCGCCCAGUAUGUCUCCCCAACGAGAGGUGGUGGCUCAAAGUGAAGAGGAGAUAUCUCCUCCCUCUCCCAGCCUAUCAGAGUCCGCUGUGGACACCUCUCCUCCAUCUCCUCCAACUACCUCUACACCGCUGCGUCCUGUACCUCCACCACCACGCAGGAGACAGCUGGAGCAGCCGCUGUCUGUGUUCCAGCAAUCAAUCCUGUCCGCCCUCGAAAAAGAAAAGGAGAAUACACCGGCUCUGGACGAGGAUGAGCAUUUUAUGCUCAGCCUCGUCCCAUCAUUGAGGAGGCUGUCCAACCAGAAAAAGGCCCAGGCGCGCAUGAGGAUGCAGCAGGUCCUUUAUGAUGUGGAGUUUGGAGAGUAAUUAAUUUGUAAUCAUUUUCUAUUUAGAUUUAGUGUUAAGAUUUAAGAUUUUUUUAAAUGUGUAAAUAAAAUUUGCAAUCAGUUUCUAUUUAGAUUUAGUUUAAGCUUUAAGAUUUUUUUAAAUGUGUACAUACUAUCUUGGAAUCAUUUUCUAUUUAG
rnacentral:lncRNA from 1 species